rnacentral:rRNA from 1 species
UACGUAGGGUCCGAGCGUUGUCCGGAAUUACUGGGCGUAAAGAGCUCGUAGGUGGUUUGUCGCGUUGUCCGUGAAAACUCGCAGCUCAACUGUGGGCGUGCGGGCGAUACGGGCAGACUGGAGUACUGCAGGGGAGACUGGAAUUCCUGGUGUAGCGGUGAAAUGCGCAGAUAUCAGGAGGAACACCGGUGGCGAAGGCGGAUCUCUGGGCCGAUACUGACGCUGAGGAGCGAAAGCGUGGGGAGCGAACAGG